rnacentral:lncRNA from 1 species
CUACAUGUAUCCCAAAUAAAUAAUUUUAAACAAGCUCCAUAAAUGUUACUCCACUUAGUGACAUAUACUGAUGGUGCAAAGUUCUUUAUAGUACUAUCAGUAUAUUGCAAGUUAAAUCCAUAUAAUAUGCACUACAAACCUGCAUGCAUUGAACUCUUCCACCAUUGCUAGCAAUGGAGGUAAUGUCAAGGUUUUGUUUCCUGGUAACAGGGAAGGAGGAGGCGGACUUGAGGCCAGUGAAGGGUGCAACCAUGCUGGCUUGAGCAGCAUUAGCGCCGGUCGCAACAGCAGCUGCUGAGGACAUAACUGAGGAAGCCAUUUCUGAAAUAAUUUCUAAGCUUAAAGCUAUUGCUACCCUUGACCU